GGGUUGUGAGGUUAAGCGACUAAGCGUACACGGUGGAUGCCCUGGCAGUCAGAGGCGAUGAAGGACGUGCUAAUCUGCGAUAAGCGUCGGUAAGGUGAUAUGAACCGUUAUAACCGGCGAUUUCCGAAUGGGGAAACCCAGUGUGUUUCGACACACUAUCAUUAACUGAAUCCAUAGGUUAAUGAGGCGAACCGGGGGAACUGAAACAUCUAAGUACCCCGAGGAAAAGAAAUCAACCGAGAUUCCCCCAGUAGCGGCGAGCGAACGGGGAGCAGCCCAGAGCCUGAAUCAGUGUGUGUGUUAGUGGAAGCGUCUGGAAAGGCGCGCGAUACAGGGUGACAGCCCCGUACACAAAAAUGCACAUACUGUGAGCUCGAUGAGUAGGGCGGGACACGUGGUAUCCUGUCUGAAUAUGGGGGGACCAUCCUCCAAGGCUAAAUACUCCUGACUGACCGAUAGUGAACCAGUACCGUGAGGGAAAGGCGAAAAGAACCCCGGCGAGGGGAGUGAAAAAGAACCUGAAACCGUGUACGUACAAGCAGUGGGAGCCUCUUAAUGGGGUGACUGCGUACCUUUUGUAUAAUGGGUCAGCGACUUAUAUUCUGUAGCAAGGUUAACCGAAUAGGGGAGCCGAAGGGAAACCGAGUCUUAACUGGGCGUUAAGUUGCAGGGUAUAGACCCGAAACCCGGUGAUCUAGCCAUGGGCAGGUUGAAGGUUGGGUAACACUAACUGGAGGACCGAACCGACUAAUGUUGAAAAAUUAGCGGAUGACUUGUGGCUGGGGGUGAAAGGCCAAUCAAACCGGGAGAUAGCUGGUUCUCCCCGAAAGCUAUUUAGGUAGCGCCUCGUGAAUUCAUCUCCGGGGGUAGAGCACUGUUUCGGCAAGGGGGUCAUCCCGACUUACCAACCCGAUGCAAACUGCGAAUACCGGAGAAUGUUAUCACGGGAGACACACGGCGGGUGCUAACGUCCGUCGUGAAGAGGGAAACAACCCAGACCGCCAGCUAAGGUCCCAAAGUCAUGGUUAAGUGGGAAACGAUGUGGGAAGGCCCAGACAGCCAGGAUGUUGGCUUAGAAGCAGCCAUCAUUUAAAGAAAGCGUAAUAGCUCACUGGUCGAGUCGGCCUGCGCGGAAGAUGUAACGGGGCUAAACCAUGCACCGAAGCUGCGGCAGCGACACUAUGUGUUGUUGGGUAGGGGAGCGUUCUGUAAGCCUGUGAAGGUGUACUGUGAGGUAUGCUGGAGGUAUCAGAAGUGCGAAUGCUGACAUAAGUAACGAUAAAGCGGGUGAAAAGCCCGCUCGCCGGAAGACCAAGGGUUCCUGUCCAACGUUAAUCGGGGCAGGGUGAGUCGACCCCUAAGGCGAGGCCGAAAGGCGUAGUCGAUGGGAAACAGGUUAAUAUUCCUGUACUUGGUGUUACUGCGAAGGGGGGACGGAGAAGGCUAUGUUGGCCGGGCGACGGUUGUCCCGGUUUAAGCGUGUAGGCUGAUUUUCCAGGCAAAUCCGGAAAAUCAAGGCUGAGGCGUGAUGACGAGGCACUACGGUGCUGAAGCAACAAAUGCCCUGCUUCCAGGAAAAGCCUCUAAGCAUCAGGUAACAUCAAAUCGUACCCCAAACCGACACAGGUGGUCAGGUAGAGAAUACCAAGGCGCUUGAGAGAACUCGGGUGAAGGAACUAGGCAAAAUGGUGCCGUAACUUCGGGAGAAGGCACGCUGAUAUGUAGGUGAAGUCCCUCGCGGAUGGAGCUGAAAUCAGUCGAAGAUACCAGCUGGCUGCAACUGUUUAUUAAAAACACAGCACUGUGCAAACACGAAAGUGGACGUAUACGGUGUGACGCCUGCCCGGUGCCGGAAGGUUAAUUGAUGGGGUUAGCGGUAACGCGAAGCUCUUGAUCGAAGCCCCGGUAAACGGCGGCCGUAACUAUAACGGUCCUAAGGUAGCGAAAUUCCUUGUCGGGUAAGUUCCGACCUGCACGAAUGGCGUAAUGAUGGCCAGGCUGUCUCCACCCGAGACUCAGUGAAAUUGAACUCGCUGUGAAGAUGCAGUGUACCCGCGGCAAGACGGAAAGACCCCGUGAACCUUUACUAUAGCUUGACACUGAACAUUGAGCCUUGAUGUGUAGGAUAGGUGGGAGGCUUUGAAGUGUGGACGCCAGUCUGCAUGGAGCCGGCCUUGAAAUACCACCCUUUAAUGUUUGAUGUUCUAACGUUGGCCCCUUACCGGGGUUGCGGACAGUGUCUGGUGGGUAGUUUGACUGGGGCGGUCUCCUCCUAAAGAGUAACGGAGGAGCACGAAGGUUGGCUAAUCCUGGUCGGACAUCAGGAGGUUAGUGCAAUGGCAUAAGCCAGCUUGACUGCGAGCGUGACGGCGCGAGCAGGUGCGAAAGCAGGUCAUAGUGAUCCGGUGGUUCUGAAUGGAAGGGCCAUCGCUCAACGGAUAAAAGGUACUCCGGGGAUAACAGGCUGAUACCGCCCAAGAGUUCAUAUCGACGGCGGUGUUUGGCACCUCGAUGUCGGCUCAUCACAUCCUGGGGCUGAAGUAGGUCCCAAGGGUAUGGCUGUUCGCCAUUUAAAGUGGUACGCGAGCUGGGUUUAGAACGUCGUGAGACAGUUCGGUCCCUAUCUGCCGUGGGCGCUGGAGAACUGAGGGGGGCUGCUCCUAGUACGAGAGGACCGGAGUGGACGCAUCACUGGUGUUCGGGUUGUCAUGCCAAUGGCACUGCCCGGUAGCUAAAUGCGGAAGAGAUAAGUGCUGAAAGCAUCUAAGCACGAAACUUGCCCCGAGAUGAGUUCUCCCUGACUCUUUAAGGGUCCUGAAGGAACGUUGAAGACGACGACGUUGAUAGGCCGGGUGUGUAAGCGCAGCGAUGCGUUGAGCUAACCGGUACUAAUGAACCGUGAGGCUUAACCUUACAACGCCGAAG
rnacentral:rRNA from 1 species